UCCCUCACCAUUCAUAAAUAUUUUUCCACUAUAUAGUGCAGAUUCGCGUUUGAGAAAGGAGGUCCACACGAUUAUAAUCCAUUUUUUCUUUCUUCUUGCUCAUUCACAUAAAGAGCACUGAUUUGGCACAAAAGAAAGUGGGAGAAGAUUUCAAGGCUUAGGGGAGAGAAAUUGGAAUUAAAAAGUUCCUAAGAAUUCAUCAAAAAGAGGAGUUGUUCUUCAUUAUUUGGAGGAAAAUUUCCAAAAAAAAAAUUCUUUUAACUUUAAAAAAAAAAAGGUUUAGAUUUCAAUAGUAGAGUAGUAUUGAAUCAAAAAAUCCCUACAAUUUUAGUACCUUUUAAUUUCAUUUUUUGCUCCUCAAAUCCGGAAAAAAAAAAUACACUUUAGUUUCUGAUUUUGAUCUUCUCUCGUGGAGUUGAAUUAAGUUCAAGGUGUUGAGUCGAAGCUCUGUUUGCCGAUUCGAGGUCCGCUCAAGUUCACACUUCCGUCCGAUUUGGAUUGCUAUUUAAGAUUUGGGCCAUUCAGAGCCGGAUAUUCGUGGAAAAGGCAUUAUGACCGAUUGUUUGAGUUUGGUUCGAGAUCCAAAUACUUGUUCGUUAGCUGUGUGGACUAUUGCUGUGGAGACUCAAGGUAAACCUGCUGCUGCGUUCGCAGGCUUCGGAGUCACCUUUAACUUUUUGUUUUGCACUGUUUAUUCUUAU